AGGAGCGGAAAUCGGGCGGAAGUACUGUUGUUAAAGGAGGUUGUUGCAUUCUGAUGUUGCUAACCAUAACCACUAUGUCUUCCUUAGAAAUUCAAAACGAAAAAGGGAGUCUUGGAGAAAACACAUCGGGAGCGAAAAGAAAAAAAUCUCUAUCAACUUGUGGCGUAUGUGGAGCAGAUGAGGCCAAGUAUAAAUGCCCAGCCUGUGUGAAACAGUCCUGCAGCUUUUUGUGUGUUAAGAAACACAAAGAAGAAUCUGGAUGCAGUGGAUUUAGGGCCAAGACUGCGUUUGUGGCCCUCUCCAAGUUUGACGAGAUGAACCUUCUUAAUGACUACCGGUUCCUGGAGGAUACAACACGUUUGGCUGGAAGCUCCUCCAGAGACAACCUGAUCCGCACACCUCACAUGACUUUGAAAGCCAAGAAGCUGACCGCCUGCGCCAGGAAAAUGAACAUAACUCUGAAGUUCCUCCCCGUGGCCUUCACGAAGAGCAGGGACAACUCAACUAUGUUUUUGACCAAGGGGUUUUCCACUCAUUGCGAUGUAAUCCCUCCACGGCAAUAUAUGAAGCUAUGAGCAUUCAUCCCAUUGGCUAACGGAAGACCCGGUGGCUGCACAUUAACGGCGAAUAUAGAGUGGUGGAGAGGGAUGAAGGCAAACCCGGAAGUGAGCGUCGCCCUCGGUUCCCUUGACAAAAAGCCAACGGGUUUUCCAUUGGAUUUUGGAUUAUUGCAGAAAAAUCCUCUACUCCUCAAAAACGGAAAAUAAAUAAAUAAAUAAAAAUAACCGUGCUCCAAAGAACGAAGUGUAAACCAAUGCAUUCUGAAUGGGAGUGUUUCUCCGAUUUUUCCAUGCUACACAACGAAAUGUAAACCCAUGCAAAUAAAGACUUCAUGGUCAUAAUAAUUUAAAUAUCAUUAAUCUACUACUGAGUGUGUAGGGAGGUAUUCUAUUUUUUUCAACGGGGCUGAAUCCAGUCACUUGACCGUCAUGGUUGCUAUGGUGGUUGCUAUCGACCGCCCCCUCUAAUACUCGUGGCUCUAAAAACCACAAGGCAAAGGAGCUGCCGUCAAUUGGGUUGUUUUUGUCGUAAACUAGGGUCCGAUGCUUGAAAAAUAGACAGAUAUUCCAAGGUAUCCUUAAAAAGCAGCUUGGAUGUGUUUAUUUUCUGCAGUUUAGACUUCUUCUAUAACUAAUUUUUGAAAGCAAAACAGCAAGCUCAUUGAUUUAACGAGGGAGGGUUAUUUGAAACAAUUUAUUAAAUAAAUAUUUGUGAGAGGUCAUUCCUUCUCCUGAUUUUACUUCCUAUUUAUGUCUAGGGUAAACCCCUACUGUCCACAAGCAUCCCCCCCUCCCCAUAUGGAUUUGGAGAAUUGUUGCCACGUCCCAGUGGUGGAGGUAUCAUAUAUAUAUAUGAAAGAGGGCCUUCAAUUAUAGCCUACUACAAUGAUCAAUUAGGAGGCCGAAGCCCUAAAGGAAGUGAUGCGCAGCUUGCCCAUGCGCAGCUUGUUUGGUCAUGUGACAUUGUCAGUGACGCAGCCAGAGACGCACGGAGAGGCAGUACAGGAGUGUUUGUCACUUUAACUGAAAAGAAUCAAUGUCGGCGGUAGGAUGUUUUUUACGGUCUCAAAUGAAGGUACUCGAAUUGCAAUAUGCAGUACUUGCAAAGCCGAAGUAAUGUGCGGAGGAUGCCGUGUCAAAUCAUUAUAUACAUUAUCGUAGCGAAAUACAGUUUCUGUUGUGUUUUAUUUGGCGUUCCGUAAUCCCGGAAAUCCACGGAAACCGGAACCGGAAGCGGAUAUGUUUAUAUUUGGUUGUAGUCUUUUCGCUCGGUUCUCCGGAUCAACAGUAGGGCUAGAACCGAGUGAAAAGACUACAACCAACCUCCCUUGAUAUAUUUGAUUUAGCCUAUUUCACAGAUUUGAGUUGAAAUUGACUUAAACUUGAAACACUUUUUGUAAUUUAUUAGACAAGUGUCUGGUUUCCAUGAAUAUUGGCAAAUUUGAUUUUAAGUUAUAAAACCUUAUCAAGACAUUUUGAUUUGUGAUGGUUAUUGUGAUUUAUGAUCCAAACUUUUUCAUAGAUGCAAGUUGUAAAAGUAGCCUAAAACUAACACUGUUAGUAACUUGUGUUUGUUAUGGAUGCCCUGUAACUUGUUGAAGAAACAAUGUAUUUCGAAGUUUUGGUAAAUAAAGAAAGAAAUAACUUUUUCAUAUUCAGUGUUUACAUGUUCUUCAGUAUACAAAAUCAUCAUAGAAACUUGUUUUUAUACCAAUAUCGAUAUCGGUAAAUAUCGGUUAUCGGCCGUAACAGCAAUUUUAAUAUCGGAUAUCGGUAUCGGUCAGAAUUUUCAUAUCGGUGCAUCCCUAAUUUUUCUGCAAUAAUCCAAAAUCCAAUGGAAAACCCGUUGGCUUUUUGUCUUUUUUUUUCAAUUACUAAUGACUCAACAUCGUUAUGUCACCGGCGAGGUCAUUACAAUAUGUUCAAUAAAACGUAUUGUAGGCCUACGGACAAAAUAUGUUUUUUAGACAAACGUAAUUGAGAAUGCCGAAUAGUUCUCUGGGAACGUAAUUUUGAUGACAAAGGGUUGCUCUAUCAGUAGUCAAAAAAAGCGCACGGACGUGGCCUCUAUAGCAACGACCUCAGCUACCCAACACUGAUCAAAAAAACGAUUGUUUCUCUCAAUCAAAACACAAAACAGGACAACUGAUGCCCAUAAACUUAACCCAUACAUGUUUUGUAAUUAACAAGGACACGUUGGUGUAGUUGUGUUGAGGAAUGUCACAGAUUUCACUAACUUCGCCGUUAAUGCGCAGCCACCGGGUCUUCCGUUAGCCAAUGGGAUGAAUGCUCAUAGCUUCAUAUAUUGCCGUGGAGGGAUUACAUCGCAAUGAGUGGAAAACCCCCUGCGUCGAAAAAAGAAGCACAUGGUCCUCCGUUAGCCAAUGGGAUGAAUGCUCAUAGCGUCUCUAUGUGCAGCCAUCGGCUCUUCCGUUAGCCAAUGGGAUGAAUGCUCAUAGCUUCAUAUAUUGCCGUGGAGGGAUUACAUUGCAAUGAGUGGAAAACCCCCUGCGUCGAAAAAAGAAGCGCAAGGUCCACCGUUAGCCAAUGGGAUGAAUGCUCAUAGCGUCUCUAUGCGCAGCCGUCGGUUCCCCCGUGAAGGGGUUACAUUGUAACGAGUUGAAAACCCCAUGCGUCAAAAAAGCACAAGGGUACCCUUUUGCGUCAGAAACUGAAGCCAAAGUCACUGACCGUUCGUCAAAAAUCGACGCGUUCGGAGUGAGAAUGUGUUUAAGUGAUUCCGUCAGACCAGCACGGAUUUUGAGUCAAGCCCCCCCCGUGGUCAACUUUGGCACACACACAGAUUGAAACGGGAAUCUGUGUGUGUGUGCCACGGAAUAUCAGUGUCAUUUACUUGCAUUGGAGCAACUUCCGUGGACACAUCAAGGACAAUUUAAGUGUUUCAGUGAGACCACCACGGGUUUUGAAUUAAUCCCCGUGGUCGACUCGCUCGUUGAAACGGGGAUCCGUGUGAGCCAAGGAACAUCAGUGUCAUUAACUUGCAUUGGAGAGAAUUCCGUGGCCACAUCACGGAAAUUGGCGUGUUUCCGUGAUGUGGCCACGGAUUUCGAGUUAAGCGUCCGUAGUCAUUACACAAAUUCCUGUGAGACCAGGUUGCUUUUGAAAGCAGCCGGACUUGCUCCGGUGACGGUAGUUGGCCUAGCCACCUAAACAGGUCUGUUUAGGUGGCUAUAGAGCAUUGCUGUGUUCCAAUAUCAAUACUAUCCGCAGACAUUAUACUUAGUUUGAGUACGUAGUGCGUUGCAAUUAAGAUCAGGGUGAUAGGAAGUGUAGUGAAAGGACCCGGAUGGUAUACUCAAAACGGUCAAAGAAAAUGUGGAUUGAUGUACGCUUUUCGUGCUCUACGGCAGCCAUCUUAGCUACGUAGCUGAAGAGGCGGAGCCAGGCUGAGCCAACGUCGGCGCAUUUUCUUUAAUAGGUCCAUGCAUUUUCCACAUAUCCUGCAUUAAUGGAGUAAUUUUGUAGUUUUAAUAGCUUUUUAUAACUACUAUGGGUAAAGAGUUCACCGUUCAAAGCGGGAUGUUUAAUGCGGGGAAGGAGCCGCGGUGGAAGUUGCGAUCGUAGUUUCCGGUUAGUGCACCACAGAGGCGGGGCCCGGAUUCACAAAGCAUUCUUAAGAAGUAAAAAGUUCUUAAGUAGCACUUUUUUCUUAACUAUGUUCUUUAGACAAAAUUUAAGAAGAUUUGAUAUUCUUGAAGAAUUUCUUAGUUUUCUCUAAACUUUUUUUUUAACUUUCUUAACUUUCUUAACAAAUGAGAUUCUUGAAUUUCUUCUCAAGUUUCUUCACAACUUUAAGAGAAGCCAUUCUUAAACCAUUCUUAAACCAGCUGCAGUGAAAAGGUAAGUCUUGAUAUGUAUUUACUUCAACAACUUUGUAUGACUUUUUUUUUAUUAUUAUUUAUUAUGUGGUAGUCCUAGACAAUGUAAUUUAAGUGGGUCAGAGUAUUAUUAUUAUUAUUUUUUAUGUAGCCUAUUACAUAGAGCUUAUUUUGGCAGUUGAGAUAUAGUUGAAAUGGACAUUUCAAUCUGUGUGACAUGUGUGCCUGUUGAUUACACUACAAUGUACUCUUAGUACUGGGUUCCCGCGGAUCCUUAAAAAGUCUUAAAUUCAUAAAUUGAAAAAUAAGGCCUUAAAUAGCAUUAAAAAGUCUUAAAUCCAUCUUUCAAAAGUCUUAAAAAUGUUUACACAUGGUAAGUAGGAUUUUAUGAUUGUAAUUUGUCUCAAAUCUAAAAAAGAAUAGUUAACAUUUUUUAUAUAUAUAAAUUAGGGCUGUAACGAUACGCGUAUCGAAACCGAAUUCGCAACACUCAAAGCAUUGGCGUCAGUUUGGUUUGAAAUGUGGUGGGGACAGAGACGCAAUCUGGAAUGCAUUUUUAGAAGUGCUGGGGAUGCACCUUAUUUUUCUUUAACGCAGGUCAUGAAAGGUUCUGAAGACGGGAUACCUGUGUAGCUUACUAAUUAAUAAGAUUUUUACAAAAAAAUUAUGUCUGACACGUUUUAUGAAGAAAGCGUUUUCAAAAAGCAUUGGACAUGAUGACCCACAAUGUUCUGCUCCAUGAUGCACUCAAUGUUGACGUGACAUGACAUGAGCUAUACCAAAAUAAACAAAGAGGGGCUUAUUACCUACGUGUUUAAGUUCAGAAGGGGCAAACGUAUACACACAGCACUACAAAUGUCAAGAUCGAAAAAGCUAAAAAUAAUUAUAUCUGAACGCUUUAUAUCACAUCAUGAGCUGGCUGUUCUCAAUUCACAACACACAUCCAUCCAAUCUACAUGGCAUCCUGACCAAAACCCAUGCACUCCCCCCCCCC